UUGAACGCUGGCGGCAUGCUUUACACAUGCAAGUCGAACGGUAACAGGCCGCAAGGUGCUGACGGGUGGCGAACGGGUGAGUAAUGCAUCGGAACGUGCCCAGUCGUGGGGGAUAACGCAGCGAAAGCUGUGCUAAUACCGCAUACGAUCUAUGGAUGAAAGCGGGGGACCGUAAGGCCUCGCGCGAUUGGAGCGGCCGACGUCUGAUUAGCUAGUUGGUGGGGUAAAGGCUCACCAAGGCGACGAUCAGUAGCGGGUCUGGGAGGAUGAUCCGUCACACUGGAACUGAGACACGGUACAGACUCCUACGGGAGGCAGCAGUGGGGAAUUUUGGACAAUGGGGGCAACCCUGAUCCAGCCAUUCCGCGUGAGUGAAGAAGGCCUUCGGGUUGUAAAGCUCUUUCAGCCGGAACGAAACGGUACGCUCUAACAUAGCGUGCUAAUGACGGUACCGGCAGAAGAAGCACCGGCUAACUACGU
rnacentral:rRNA from 1 species